GACGAACGCUGGCGGCGUGCUUAACACAUGCAAGUCGAGCGGAAAGGCCCCUUCGGGGGUACUCGAGCGGCGAACGGGUGAGUAACACGUGGGUAAUCCACCCAGGACACAGGGAUAACCCGGGGAAACCCGGGCUAAUACCUGAUGACGUGCCGGCCCUGCGGGGCUCGGCACCAAAGGUAGCUUCGGCCUCCGGUCUUGGACGAGCCCGCGGCCCAUUAGCUUGUUGGCGGGGUAACGGCCCACCAAGGCUACGAUGGGUAGCUGGUCUGAGAGGACGAUCAGCCACACUGGGACUGAGACACGGCCCAGACUCCUACGGGAGGCAGCAGUGGGGAAUCUUGCCCAAUGGGCGAAAGCCUGAGGCAGCAACGCCGCGUGCGGGAAGACGGCCUUCGGGUUGUAAACCGCUUUCAGCGGGGACGAAGGCGAGCGGGUUAAUAGCCCGAUCUCGUUGACGGUACCCGAAUAAGAAGUCCCGGCUAACUACGUGCCAGCAGCCGCUGUAAUAC
rnacentral:rRNA from 1 species